AAAGGACUGUUUCUCAGCAAGUGAUAUGUUUCUCAAAAGAUUCCAUACUGAAAAUAUUGUCUUCUGGAAAAAUCCUUCAGAGGUUGCUUGUGUAUUAACUCACAAACAACUAAACUGAGAUGCUAAAAUGGUUGGAUUUUGUUUCAAAAUGUAUGACCUACAUUGUAAAAUUCCUUUUGAGAAGAAUGAAAACUACAGUAACAAAAUUAAUGUUUGGUGUGGUUUUACUGCUAGGAGUUGCUUAAACAUUUACAAAUCGAAUUAGAUGGAUGAGAACUCUAGAUGGCAUGUCAGCACAAUGUAGUAUAAAGACUCCUGGCCAGGACCAAAUGGGACAUGGCUUCUGAGUGUCACUCUGCAGAAAAUCUGUGUAUCCUUGGUUCAGACGUAGAAACCUCAGAAGUUAUCACUUUCAUCUCUACAAGAAGAAAUUGAAGACAUUGAACAUCACUAAGAUGAGAGCAUAGAUGCCACAAGAUGAGAUUUCACCCCAAUAUCUGGAGAGUGAAGAAGGUACUGAGAGUCCCUUGGUCCCAGGUAUAGAAGCUCUCCAAUGGAACCAGGGAUAGCAGUAUUAUUUACAAUAGUGCCGCAUACAGAACUCUAAAAUCUCAACAGGAAAAAAAAAAAAAGAUCCAAGUAAAAAGUAAACCAAGAAUCCUAAAUGAUAGCUUACCAAGAAGCUAUAGAAAGGCAAGAUGUGAAAGAAGCCUAACAUUAUAUGUCAUUAGAGAACUACAAAGUAAAAGAAUGAGAAUACCAUUAAAUACCUGUACAAUGGCCAGAAUCUAAAAGACACUGAUACCACCAAAGACUCAUGAGAAUUCGGAACAAGACCCUCGUUCACUGCUGGUGUGGAUAACACUGAAAAAUGUUUUGACUUUUUUUUUUAACAAAACAAAACCCUCAUUACUCAAUGCCACAUAAAAACACUUCUUUAUAUGUACUCAAAUGGCUAAGAAAUGUAGGUCCACAGAGAAGUUUAUUCACAAGGUCAAAACUUGGAGACACACAGAUGUCCUUUUAUGAAUGGAUAAAUGAAUUGUGGUACGUUCAUAAAAUGGAAAGCUAUUCAGCCACAAAAAGAAAUAAAGUAUCAAUCUGUAAAACACUUGAAGGGAAUUAAAUGCAUACUGCUAACUGAAAGAAGCCAGUCUGGAAUGCCUAUAAACAGUAAUAUUCCAACCAUAUGGUAUUUUCAAAAAGACAACAUUAUAAGACCAUAAAAAGUCCGUGAUUUCUCAGUUUGGAGGAAUAAGAGGGAAGAAUAAAUUGGUAGAACACAUGGAAUCUUUUGAGUUGUGGAAACUACUCUGUUUGAUAUUACUAUGGUGACCCCGAUACUGUGCUCUUAUUAAAAUCAAUAGUACUGUACAAUGCUGAGUCAAUCUCAAUUUAAACUAUAGAUUUCACUUAAUAAUAAUGCACUAAUACUAGUUUAUUAGUCAUAAUAAAUGUUCUUCUCUGUUGCAAGUUAUUAGGGUAAUCUGAGGGUAGAGGCUGAUAUGUGUGAGCUCUAGGUAAGUUCUGCACCAUUUAUCUGUAAUACCGCUUUAAAAUGAAAUUUUAUUAAUUAAAACUAUCAAGAAAGAAGCACGUAUUAUAUAACUAUAUGUAAUAAUGAGGAUUAAAUGAAGAAAAUAAAGAUAUGUACAAAAAUAAAGAUAUAUACAUUAUGAUGACAUACAUAUCAAAAUAAUUAGAAUGGAUAAGAGAGGAAAUAAGAGUCAAUGAUGAGAAAGAAAACAGUAAGAGAAGGGUUGGUGAUUAAAUAUAAGGUGUUAUUAAUAUAGGGGACAUAUUAAUAACAUUUCUUUUUUAUUGUUAUUUUUUAUUUACAUAUGACAGUGGAAUGCAUUACAAUUCAUAUUACACAAAAAGAGCACAAAUUUUUCAUAUCUCUGGUUGUAUACAAAGAAUAUUCACCCCACAUUUCUCUGCCUAAGGAUUCACAAAGACAAAAACUCCUAAGAAUUACUUCUGCACUUUUAAUAUUGACAACCUGACCAUCCAUUGUAAUAAAAGAAAGUUCGCUCUUGUUUGGAAAGUUUAUAAAGUAUAAAUAACAAGGGAAAAGGAAGAGGCAAGCAGGUAGGAGGGAAACAGGACCAGAUCUCCUGUUUCCAAGGAAGGACUUAAUUUUGGUAACAUUGUUAAGCUGCUAAGAGCCCUGGGUGACACAGCAUUGCAGCUUGUCAGGAUGCCUGUACUCCCUUUAAAUCACUUCGGUACUGAUAGUAUGGCACAGGCACUUGUCAAUUACUCUCACCUUGAGUUUCAGUAAGCCAGUUGCAGUAAUCAAAAAUGAAUAGUGCAGGGACACUAAGUGGUCAUGUAAGAAUGUACCUUCUGGGAUGGUCAUCUAGUUUUAUAUAAGGCAGGUUAUACAUGAAGAGAUGUCUGAUGCCAGAUUCUUUGAAAUCCUUGUCUUGAUCAACAAGUGACAAACAAGUUAGCAUUCAAUGAUAAAAAUGACUUCUUCAUUAUUAUGAUGAACCAUGAUAAGCUCUUUUUAGUGAACUUCAGAGCUCUUUUUUGGAUGCUCAGCACAUGUGCACAAGUUGAAACAGUUUGGAGGCUUUGCCUACUUUUAAGGAACCAUGUGUAAAAAUAUUUCUCAAUCUCAACGUUGUCACUGGAGGCUCCAUCCUAUAAUGUCCAGCACAGGGUUAUUGUGCUACAUCCUGGAAUAGGUUUUCAUUUCUGAUAGAUGCUGCUUAUAGAAGAAAACAGGAUCCUGCAUCAGCAAUGUUUGUCUGCCUCAUGAAGGUAUGACCAUAUCACCUAAAGGGAGAGAGGGCUAACAACUUUUUAUUAGAAAAAACAGGUUUAUAAACUGCUAUGAGCCAUGUUUGCUUACAAAUAUUUAAUAAAUACUAGCAUGGGUGCCAGAAUUUGACCAGAGACUUUGCUCAUUGUAACCUCAUGGCAGCUGUAGAGGAGUGUAAAAUUGACAGGGUUUAAGGACACAAGUGUAAUAAAGCACCUCAGAACAUCAAGUAUAAUGUGAAAUUAUAGAUCCUUGGAUUUAGCUACAGGAGUAUUUGAGUGAUGUGGUAAAAGAGGUUUCAGAAUUGUGGGGAAUUGAAACAGAAGAUAAGAUUGUACAACAGCAAAAUGUUAACUCUCUGAGCCAGUGUGAUGCAAGCAGGAGGUUUGCCCAACUGCUUUGCCUGAGAUACAGAGCAACCUGGCAGGGGGUAGCUCCCCCAGUGAGAGAGGUCACAUCCAGGCCACAACCAAUUCAACUUCCCAGGGAAGUCAGGGUUCCCUCCCUCAGGCAUGAGAAGCCCCAUGUGCCCUGAAGGACUUGGGGUGCUAAGCAGCUGGCAUACCACACAGUGCCUGGUAAUAUCCGAGCACAUAUGUCUACACUGUCAGAUGUGAAAUAGUGUGUCUCUAUACUGACAAGGUGUUUCCUACUUUGAG